rnacentral:rRNA from 1 species
GAUGAACGCUGGCGGCGUGCUUAACACAUGCAAGUCGAACGAGAGAAGAUCGGUGCUUGCACUGAUCCGAUCGAGUGGCGGACGGGUGAGUAACGCGUGGGUAACCUGCCUCAUACAGGGGAAUAACAGUUGGAAACGGCUGCUAAAACCGCAUAAGCGCACAGUAUCGCAUGAUACAGUGUGAAAAACUCCGGUGGUAUGAGAUGGACCCGCGUCUGAUUAGCUAGUUGGUGAGGUAACGGCCCACCAAGGCAACGAUCAGUAGCCGGCCUGAGAGGGUGAACGGCCACAUUGGGACUGAGACACGGCCCAAACUCCUACGGGAGGCAGCAGUGGGGAAUAUUGCACAAUGGGGGAAACCCUGAUGCAGCGACGCCGCGUGAGUGAUGAAGUAUUUCGGUAUGUAAAGCUCUAUCAGCAGGGAAGAUAAUGACGGUACCUGACUAAGAAGCACCGGCUAAAUACGUGCCAGCCGCCGCCGUAA